UGGAGAAGCAGAAAUCCUUGAAUGAUGGAUA
rnacentral:piRNA from 1 species